CGAGCGAUUUCCGGACGUUCUGCUGCCAUCACGUAAGAAGCAGUUGUGCCCAUUGAAUGACCGAUUCCCAAAAUUUUGAAUCCGAUGGAGAUAAAGAAACAUGUGCCCUUGAGUAAUACCAAGUCCUUUAUCCUUGCCGGCAAUGACCCAAUCAGCAGAGCUGCACAACAAACCAUGCUGCAACAACACGGG